rnacentral:rRNA from 1 species
GUGCCAGCCGCCGCGGUAAGACAGAGGGUGCAAACGUUGUUCGGAAUUACUGGGCGUAAAGCGUGUGUAGGCGGCCACGAUAGUCGGAUGUGAAAGCCCCGGGCUCAACCCGGGAAGUGCACCCGAUACUGCGUGGCUCGAGUACCGGAGAGGUUGGUGGAAUUCUCGGUGUAGAGGUGAAAUUCGUAGAUAUCGAGAGGAACACCGGUGGCGAAGGCGGCCAACUGGACGGAUACUGACGCUGAGACACGAAAGCGUGGGGAGCAAACAGGAUUAGAUACCCCAGUAGUCC